rnacentral:rRNA from 1 species
AUUGAACGCUGGCGGCAGGCCUAACACAUGCAAGUCGAACGAGUGGCGGACGGGUGAGUAAUGUCUGGGAACCUGCCUGAUGGAUGGGGAUAACUACGGGAAACGGUAGCUAAUACCGCAUACCAUCAGAUGUGCCCAGGUGGGAUUAGCUUGUGGGUGGGGUAACGGCUCACCAAGGCGACGAUCCCUAGCUGGUCUGAGAGGAUGACCGGCCACACUGGAACUGAGACACGGUCCAGACUCCUACGGGAGGCAGCAGUGGGGAAUAGUGCACAAUGGGCGCAAGCCUGAUGCAGCCAUGCCGCGUGUGUGAAGAAGGUCUUCGGGUUGUAAAGUACUUUCAGCGGGGAAGCGUUACCCGCAGAAGAAGCACCGGCUAACUCCGUGCCAGCAGCCGCGGUAAUUC